AUUGAACGCUGGCGGCAGGCCUAAUACAUGCAAGUCGAACGGUAACAGGAAGAAGCUUGCUUCUUUGCUGUCGCGUGGCGCACGGGUGUGACACGUCUGGGACACUGCUUGAUGGCGGGGGAAACCUACUGGAACCGGUAGUUAAUCCCGAAUAACGUUGCAAGCCCAUGGUGGAGGAGUUUAGGGCCUCCUGGCUUUGGCUGUGACCAGGUGGGAUUAGCUAGUAGGUAGGGUAACGGCUAACCAAGGCCACGAUCCCUAGCGGACCUGAGAGGUUGACCGGCCACACUGGAACUGAGACACGGUCCAGACUCCUACGGGGGGCAGCAGUGGGGAAUAUUGCACAAUGGGCGCAAGCCUGAUGCAGCCAUGCCGCGUGUAUGAUGAAGGCCUUCGGGUUGUAAAGUACUGUCAGCGGGGAGGAAGAGAGUUAUAUGAAAACCUGUACACAUUGACGGUACCUACAGAGGAAGCCCCGGCUAACUCCGUG
rnacentral:rRNA from 1 species